CCCUCUCAGGCCGGCUACCCGUCGUCGCCUUGGUAGGCCGUCACCCCACCAACAAGCUGAUAGGCCGCGGGCCCAUCCCACACCGCAAAAGCUUUCCACCAGAAGACAUGCGUCUUGAGGUCCUAUCCGGUAUUAGACCCAGUUUCCCAGGCUUAUCCCGAAGUGCAGGGCAGAUUGCCCACGUGUUACUCACCCGUUCGCCACUCGAGUACCUCCGAAGAGGCCUUUCCGUUCGACUUGCAUGUGUUAAGCACGCCGCCAGCGUUCGUCCUGA
rnacentral:rRNA from 1 species